rnacentral:rRNA from 1 species
AGUGAUCCUGCGCCGAAGAUUUCCGGGGCUAAAACUUACUACCGAAGCUACGGCAUCAGUAAUGAUGGGUAGGGGAGCUUCCCAUACGGGUUGAAGCAUGACCGUAAGGACAUGUGGACAGUAUGGGAGGGAGAAUGUUGGCAUGAGUAGCGAGAUGUGGGUGAGAAUCCCACAGGCCGUAAACCCAAGGUUUCCAGGGGAAGGUUCGUCCGCCCUGGG